rnacentral:rRNA from 1 species
GGUACGUACUGGCAUUGUUGGUUUCUCCCUUCUGACGAACCAUGAUGUCAUUUAUUUGGUGUUGUGGGGAAUCAGGACUGUUACUUUGAAAAAAUUAGAGUGAUUAAAGCAGGCUCACGCUUGAAUACAUUAGCAUGGAAUAAUGAAAUAGGACGUUUGAUUCUAUUUUGUUGGUUUCUAGGAUCGACGUAAUGAUUAAUAGGGAUAGUCGGGGGCAUUAGUAUUCAAUUGUCAGAGGUGAAAUUCUUGGAUUUAUUGAAGACUAACUACUGCGAAAGCAUUUGCCAAGGAUGUUUUCAUUAAUCAAGAACGAAAGUUAGGGGAUCGAAGACGAUCAGAUACCGUCGUAGUCUUAACCAUAAACUAUGCCGACUAGGGAUCGGAUGAUGUUAAUUUUUUAAUGACUCAUUCGGCGCCUUACG